GGGCGAAUAGCUCAGUCGGGAGAGCACCUGCCUUACAAGCAGGGGGUCGCAGGUUCGAACCCUGUUUCGCCCA
rnacentral:tRNA from 1 species